rnacentral:SRP_RNA from 13 species
CAGGUGCAUGGCGACGGCCUGCUCCGUCACGUUCUCGCCGAGCCUGGCCGCGAGGCUGGCGAGCAGCGCGCUCUCCCCGCUCUUGGCGU